CCCCCAGCCCUGGAGGUGUCCCAGGAAGGCCUGGAUGUGGCACUCAGUGCUCUGGGCUGGGGGACAAGGUGGGGAUGGGGCACAGGGGGGAUCCAUGGGCUGGGAGGGCUUUUCCAACCUCAGUGAUUCUGGGAUUCUCUGAUUCAGGGAAACUGGUGCCUCUCCAGAACAGCACAAUCUAACACCAGGGGCUGACCACAGAAGCCAAUAGACUCCACCAAAGUAGCUCCUCUACCUCUUGAUUUUCUCUCAGACCUUCAUCUGUGAAAUUCUUCAGAGUCCCAUCACCCUCCUGUUUGUUGGCUGUGUCAGACCAUGAGUCAGGAGCACAACACCCCAAAGAGUUAUGGGCCACCACCAUCCCAACAACCUUAGUCCCAUCUCUCCAGUGCACUUUUCCCAGCUGAUUGCAGUCUGAGGAACAUUGGAAAUCUGAUGCAAGGAACUCUCUUUUGGGGAGUAACUGGGAGAAAGCAAAAUGGGAGAAACCAACAGGGUUGUAAGAGCUGUGGCUUUACCUCUGUCAGAAGGACGGGCCCUCCUGCAGCUCAGUUAUGUGGAGAUUUGACGGAAGGAGUUGUGGAUGAACACACGGAGUCCCACAACUCCUCGUGUUGAGAAGACACCACGAAAAGAAAUCUCUUUUCCUUCAGGACUGUAGAACUUGAAGAGAACAGUGCUGGGAUAAGAAAUAUUGGAAGUGACUGUAUGGGAGUGAAGAGGGAAUGUGGGAAAAUUAGGAUUUUAGCAUCCUGCAAAACAGCAAGGAAUAGUAAGGGCUGAUCUCUCCUUGUGGCUGGUGGGGUAGAAAAGACCAAUCCCUGCUCUAUAACUGUUGUCUUAUGAAUUCACACUGCCUUUUUCCUCAACAAAAUGUGUUCAAAAACAUUCCAAGAAUCUUCUAAGUAGUGGUUUGGAUCUAAUCAAUUAAUUUGGUUUGAGAGUCAAGUCUUCUUGCCUUAUGAGAACAGUCGAAGUACUCACCCUGCAGUCCAAGAAAGUAGAUUUUUACUCUUUAAAACCCUGUGACUGAUUGGACUGACCCUGCAUUUCAUCCACUGAAUGCUCUCCUGUUCCACAUUCAUCCUAAAUCCAUCUUUUGCAGUCCACUCCAAAAAUUCUUUUUAAUUCAACAGGGACUGGACAAAAUUUCUCCUGCCGUAUUUGUUGUUUUCUGACCAGUAUUUCACCACACAAAUAGCAAACUCAAACUAAUGUGGUAACACAGCAAAAACUGGGACCUUCUGGAUUGGUUUCCCAUCAUCUUCAGUUCUCAGCUGGAAAUUCAUGGCAUCUUCCUUGCAGCUGCUCUGUGACUGCUUUAGCUUUUGGAGUGGGGGGGGUGAGAUGGUGGUGAGAGGGGAACAAAGAGGGCAGCCAGUGGCACAGAACCUGAAUAUUUCCUUCCUACAGCUUGUUUCAUGUGAACUGUAAACUUCAUUUUUUGGCUAGAAAUGGUUGCAAACAGGUAGUCAUAGAUAAAGCAGUGUAUUUGUUCAGCUCAAAUACCAAGAUAGGUCUGUGUGGAUGGGCCCAACAUUUAACUCAAGAGACUAAGGCAGAAGAGAUGAGCCCUUAUUUUGGGGAAGUUCUCCCUCGAAGGACAAAUACAUCACAAAAUUAAUGAUUACAGAGCUUUUCCUUAAAGACAGUGCAGGGUUGAUACACUAAAGGAACUGGGCAAUUUUCUGUGAGCCCUGCCCUUCCAUCUGGUUUAAUUGAUAAUAAAAGGAUAAUAAUC